ensembl:lncRNA
CAUUCCAAGAGCCUGAGGGACAGCUGGCUCGUUGGCUGGAGGAGCUGCAAGGCUACGAGUUCAGCGUGGUUCACCGUGCUGGAGAACGGCAUGGCAACGCUGACGCACUGUCCCGUCGACCCUGCAGUGAAGACGACUGCCGGUAUUGUGACCGCAGAAAGGUCAGAGAACAGCAGCUGGUUCUGGGGCCAAACAAGCAGGACAGAGAGGAGUGUGAAGACUGUCGGGGCUUGUAGAGAGCUGCUGGUGGUGGACAAUGCUAUCUGGGCCGCGGAACAGCAACAAGACCCGGUCGUGCAGCCAGUGAUGCUGUGGGUGGAGGCGCGGCAGCGGCCGCCCUGCGAGGAGGUGGCCGCUCUCUCCCCAUGGACAAAAGGGCUGUGGGCUAAAUCUAAUUCUUUGCAGCUGGCUGAUGGGGUCCUUCAGCGGGCAUGGUUGGAACCAGGGUCGGGAGAGAAAAAGAUGCAUUGGAUGUGGAAAGAGAGGAGAACUGCGGGGAAUAUACAGUGACCCACCUCACCCCGGUUUCUGCAGCCAAAUUUGCGCAUGGGAUGCAGAAUAAUCGGUUUUGGAAAACAAAAUAUUUAUAAUAAUAUUCAAAAUAUUUGAUACAGUUGAGACAAGAAUCGUUUCUUUGUUUUACACACAGACA